rnacentral:rRNA from 1 species
AACGUAGGAGACAAACGUUAUCCGGAGUUACUGGGCGUAAAGGGCGUGUAGGUGGUUUCGUAAGUCUGGCGUGAAAUUUUUCGGCUUAACCGGGAAAGGUCGUCGGAUACUGCGGAACUAGAGGACGGUAGAGGCGUGUGGAAUUCCGGGUGUAGUGGUGAAAUGCGUAGAGAUCCGGAGGAACACCAGUGGUGAAGGCGACACGCUGGGCCGUACCUGACACUGAUGCGCGACAGCAUGGGGAGCAAACAGG